rnacentral:rRNA from 1 species
GACGAACGCUGGCGGCGUGCUUAACACAUGCAAGUCGAGCGGAAAGGCCCUUUCGGGGGUACUCGAGCGGCGAACGGGUGAGUAACACGUGAGUAAUCUGCCCUUGGCUUUGGGAUAACCACCGGAAACGGUGGCUAAUACCGGAUAUGACGGGCUCCGGCAUCGGGGUUCGUGGAAAGUUUUUCGGCCAGGGAUGUGCUCGCGGCCUAUCAGCUUGUUGGUGGGGUAAUGGCCUACCAAGGCUUCGACGGGUAGCCGGCCUGAGAGGGUGACCGGCCACACUGGGACUGAGACACGGCCCAGACUCCUACGGGAGGCAGCAGUGGGGAAUAUUGGACAAUGGGCGAAGCCUGAUCCAGCAACGCCGCGUGAGGGAUGACGGCC